GGAAGCCUAUUUUCUUAUCCAAGUUAUAUGCCUCCAUUAUCUGAUAGUAGUGGAGCCAAUCUCUCACUUUAUUUUUUAAUUUUUCAAAACUCUGCAGUCUCAAUUUAUCUCCUUCUUGCUCCAAAAUUUCCCAAUAUGUCGGCCAUUUGGCCUCCAUAUUGAGCCUUUUCAGAGCUUUUGCUUCCAUUGAUGACAGCCACCUUGGGGUUUUAUUUUCCAAUAAGUCUUUGUAUCUUAUCCAGACAUUAAACAAUGCUUUCCUAACAAUAUGAUUUUUGAAUGCUUUGUGUGCUUUGACCUUAUCAUACCAUAAAUAUGCAUGCCAUCCAAAUACAUUGUUAAAACCUUCUAAAUCCAAAAUGUCUGUGUUUU